AUGAAGGUCCAGGUGGCCUUGCAUCUACACAGCAGAUUUGUAGGGUUCUGGGUUUGUAAUGGUUAUGGGUUUGGGAUGAAGGUCCUGGUUGAAGUUCAAUCGAAGAUAUGGGUUUUUAUGGUGGUCAAGGGUUGCUCAUGUUGGCCUACUUUGGGGUUGGGGUGGCGCAGCCGGUCAGGGCGAUUUUCAGUGCAGUUUUGUUCCUGGUGA